rnacentral:rRNA from 1 species
UAGUGGCGAACGGGUGAGUAACACGUGAGUAACCUGCCCCUCACUUCCGGGAUAACUCCGGGAAACCCGGGGCUAAUACCGGAUAUGAGCUCCUUCCGCAUGGUUGGGGUUGGAAAGAUUUAUCGGUGGGGGAUGGGCUCGCGGCCUAUCAGCUUGUUGGUGGGGUGAUGGCCUACCAAGGCUUCGACGGGUAGCCGGCCUGAGAGGGCGACCGGCCACAUUGGGACUGAGAUACGGCCCAGACUCCUACGGGAGGCAGCAGUGGGGAAUAUUGCACAAUGGGCGAAAGCCUGAUGCAGCGACGCCGCGUGAGGGAUGGAGGCCUUCGGGUUGUAAACCUCUUUCAGCAGGGAAGAAGCGCAAGUGACGGUACCUGCAGAAGAAGCGCCGGCUAACUACGUGCCAGCAGCCGCGGUAAUACGUAGGGCGCAAGCGUUGUCCGGAAUUAUUGGGCGUAAAGAGCUCGUAGGUGGUCUGUCGCGUCUGGUGUGAAAUCCCGAGGCUCAACCUCGGGCUUGCAUCGGGUACGGGCAGACUAGAGUGCGGUAGGGGAGACUGGAAUUCCUGGUGUAGCGGUGGAAUGCGCAGAUAUCAGGAGGAACACCGAUGGCGAAGGCAGGUCUCUGGGCCGCAACUGACGCUGAGGAGCGAAAGCAUGGGGAGCGAACAGGAUUAGAU